UCAAAGCACCGGCUCAAUCAUGCAGCCGCUCUAAUGAGAGCCAAUGAACGAUAUAGACCCGGAAGCAAGCGUCUAGAUGAUCGAGACUAAAUUGGCAACAAUGAAAACAUCUCAUUACUUGAUUCUUGAAAAUAACGUCAACAAAUGACAAUUCUACCACCGUUUAAAGUUUGAUUAAAUUUUGGACAAAUGUGUUUGUUUUAAUUUGCCUCUCACAAAAAGUAAACGUAUAUAUAUACUGGGCAAAGAAGUGCUGAAAUUUAUCGUGAAUGACAGUGAUAAUCCAAAGUUUGAAUUUGGUUCGGACAUGUUUGACGGGAAUUCGGAUGACCGUUACAGUGAAAAGACAGUUUCCAAUCGUUCAUCUAUACCUACUACACCUGUCCAGGUAAAAACUUCAGAUUCCUCCGACGCAGCGGAUCAUGAAAUUCCUGUCCCGAUGAGGCAACAAGGCGUGCUUGUGGUGGAGGCCUUGGUCGCCGAUGAGUCAAUGUUCGUGGACAGUAGGAUGACGCUAAAAAUGAACCUGACUGACAUUCAUAUGUGCUUCAUGCAAUCCCAUGAGUUUUACCAUUCACACAAAAACAUCAAACAAGCCGGAUUGUGUAUAUUUUGUAAAUAUUAGUCAAAAGGAUAAAGAAAAUGGUGCCUGACUGUGUGAUUGGAAAAAGGUAUUAAUCACAUGUUUCGAAGAAAUGUUUGUAGAUUGUUUAGAUGUUCAUGUGUAUUUAAACUAUAUAUGGAAAACAUUCAAGUGUUAAAUAUUUAUGCUGAUUGUUUUUUUGUCUAUGAAAAAAUAUUGCAUAUUCUUGUAUUUUCUUGAAAUAUGUUUAUGCUAUAUAUGAAAACUGACACAAUCAGUAUUUGCAGUAUGUAACAGGGUACAAUUCUUUGUAUGAAAUAAGAAUUGGUUGGGUGUAACCUUUUCAUGGUAUUUUAGUUCAUUCACUGUGACCAUUGUAUUUUUAAUUACCUGUCUUCUGACCAUGACCAUGUUGGCAUAGGAUUAUAGUUUUUCCCGCCAUUUCAAUCAUGUGAUCUGUCACAUGAUUGCAGUUCAGCCUCUUAUUCAGAGUUUGAUGAGGGAGGUUGGACUUCUCUUGGAAGUCAACUUUGGUUUUUUGUACAGGAUUUGGACAUAUGUUUUGGUGGGUAUUAUUUCUGAUACUGUAUCUGCAAUUACCCUUUCUGUAUUUGCAAUGAGUUAAGAUGUGUUUUGAAUUAUGCAUUUAGUACACAUUUUACUUUUCUGCACGAGUUUCUCAAAUUCAAGAUUGCGGCAAAUUCUUAUCUAACUGAUUAUUAACUAAUUAAUUUACAAUCACUUUUACUACAUCUAUUACACUUUUAAAAUGAUCCUUAUUACAGCUAACCUCAGUCAUGUCCUUACCCAUCACGGGAGAGAGACAGUUGAGCGCGUAUAUAUCCUUUCAUUCCACAAAUGAAUGCGGAAUAUACAUAGAUAUAAAUAUAUUUAGUGGUUAUUCUCAUGAUUACCAUGAUUACUGAACUCUCUACAAUAAACCGUGAAAUAACCGGACUCUAGUGUGGACUUUUUUAGCUAAUAUAGCUGGUUACAACAUAUAUAUUUAUUGGACCAGCCGGGCAUGUAACCUGUAUAUUACAAGUACAAAAGAAGUAAAAGUGUCUUUUGUAUAUAUGUUUUCUAUCACUUGUCUAAAUUUGAACAAGAUAUCUAAAACAAAAAUUAAGGAAAAUUUGCAAAUUAAAAAAAGAUAGGCAUUAAAUUCUGAGAAAGCCUAAAAUCAUACUGGCGCAGGCUGGAAUUUUCUGUGACAUAUUUUCAGCUGAAAUGGUUUACAAUAUGGUGUAGGUUUUUUGUAAAUUUUAUUCCAGAACUUAAAUGGUUACCAAGGCCAAUUGUGUAGUCGGUCGCCCGUGAGCUCAAUCGGUAGAGCGUUGGACUGUGAAUCGAACAACCCGGAUUUGAUUCCCAAGCGGACCAGGUCACUUCUGUUGUGAUUGGUUAUGAAAUCCUUUCUUCGACCAUUUGCACUGUACCUCUGCCCCUGGCAUGUGCAGAAGUAGUCAGUUCCUUGCAGAGGUGAAGGCACCUAGUACUGGUUCUGCCCAGGAUAGGUGUGCGGUGGUUGAACUGUCACUCUGGGACCCUUCGAUGUGCUCACGCUGAGACCCGGAGUAUUAACUACUAACACUACCAAUCGUGUAGUCAAAGCAAGAGUGAUAGCUGUAGUUUAUAUAUAUAUGUGACUGCAAAUGCCUAUAUUCAUUUUUUGAGUUAUUUUUCAAGUCGCCUUGUCUAGUCAUUUCCAUGGCAUGAGAUAUGACAAUGUAUUUUAAUAGAGAAUUAUUUUUAACCAAGUUUUCCUAAGGAAAAGUGGAAAACCAAGUUAAUAGAUUCGGAUAUUCCAUUGGGCAGGCAGGUGGCUGUGACCAUUGGCGCUUGUGUCCAGGCUUUAACUUAGCCAUGCAUAGGGUAUUUAAAAAAAAAACCUUGCAAAAAGGUUUUUAAACUGGAAAACUGGUUUUGAGUUCUCUCAUUUAUGAAAUAGUUUAAAGAAAUACAUUUUCUUGAUCUCAUAUAGCAUUUGAUUGAUCUAAAAUAUAAUAUUGGUAUAGAAUUAUCUUUUAGUGUUAUCAUUCUUUCACUGGAUGUUAUCCUUGUACUGUUUACAAUAUCAUUGUUUAGUUAAUAAGUGAAUAAAAUGUGAGCAAAAGUGAGUUUUUCGCUUAAUGCCAAACAAAUAUUUUUAUUAUUUCGCUCGCUCGCCCCAUUAUUUUUUGGGAAAGAUCCGAUGAACAAGUUAUCAAUUUGGUGUGGCCUAAGCAGGGAACCAGACUAUAGACUAGUGAAUAAAACCAUAAGCAACCAGUAAUUAUCAACUCAACACAACUCAAAACUCGUUUUAUUUACUAACUUCAGGUUACAAUGUAUGCAACAACAUGGAUAGGAUAUAUAAUAUGAACUAAGGCGCUGCC